AGUGGCGGACGGGUGAGUAACGCGUGAGAAUCUACCUUCAGGACGGGGACAACAGCUGGAAACGGCUGCUAAUACCCGAUAUGCCGAAAGGUGAAAAGUUUUUUCGCCUGGAGAGGAGCUCGCGUCCGAUUAGCUAGUUGGUGAGGUAAAAGCUUACCAAGGCGACGAUCGGUAGCUGGUCUGAGAGGAUGAGCAGCCACACUGGAACUGAGACACGGUCCAGACUCCUACGGGAGGCAGCAGUGGGGAAUUUUCCGCAAUGGGCGAAAGCCUGACGGAGCAACGCCGCGUGGGGGAAGAAGGUUUUUGGAUUGUAAACCCCUUUUCUCAAGGAAGAACAAAAUGACGGUACUUGAGGAAUCAGCCUCGGCUAACUCCGUGCCAGCAGCCGCUGUAAUACGGAGGAGGCAAGCGUUAUCCGGAAUUAUUGGGCGUAAAGCGUUCGUAGGCGGCUGUUCAAGUCUGCUGUCAAAGACCGAGGCUCAACCUCGGGUAGGCAGUGGAAACUGGAUAGCUAGAGGUCGGUAGGGGCAGAGGGAAUUCCCAGUGUAGCGGUGAAAUGCGUAGAUAUUGGGAAGAACACCGGUGGCGAAAGCGCUCUGCUGGGCCGAACCUGACGCUGAGGGACGAAAGCUAGGAGAGCGAAUGGGAUUAGAUACCCC
rnacentral:rRNA from 1 species